rnacentral:lncRNA from 1 species
CGUUAGAUGUGAAUUCCCAGAGCGCUAACUGUGCUCUUGGCCAUCAAACAUCACCUAAAGAGAGGAGGUGGGGAGCAGGGUCUUGAGCACCGAGCAGCUGAUCAGCUGUCCUCAGUUCUCCUUGGCAUCAAGCAUCUCAGGUUAUCGCUCCCUGAUUGUCGCUAAGAGGAUCUUCAGAUAGCUAGCCAGUAACCAUUUGCUCUCCCAUCAUCGCUCCAUGUCUUUUCUCUGGGUUACCCUAAUCUCAAGUGAACCUUCCCAGCCUGGGCUGGUGGCAGAACAAUUGGUGUAGUCGGCAGGAUCUUCCACAGCCUGGUGUGAAACCCUCAGCUCCCCCGGAAACCACACAGAAGAUUCAUGGGUUGAUUGUGCAGCAAAAAUCCCUCUGGAAUGGAGUGUGUGGUCAGAGUACAAAGACGGCCAGAUCCAGGCUUUCCACCGAGGCCUUCCACUUGCUAGUGAAUCAACAUAUGUUAUGUAAUCUACACGGGCACAGUAUACAUGUAAACAAGUAGUCUGUGUCUACAUAACUUUUUGCCAGCUUGCCAGCUUUGUAAAAUAUCAUACGUAAAAGACUUACUAGUGUUGCUCCUCAUGCUGCUGAGGUAUUAAAGGAAAGUCAGAUAUUCCCACAGUUCCGUGUCUUUUCUUUAGGCUGCCGGAAUCUCAAGUAAGCCUCAAGUGGAACUGUGUCAGAACAUUAUACUUUUGAUGCGACCUAGGAUUCUUAUCAGUCAAACGCUGAGAGGCCCCAGACACCUCAAGCUGAGGACCCAAUUUGCAAUACCCGAUCCCUCGAGGGCACAGACAUGGUCCACAGUCCACACUUUGGCAUCGGCCUACACGUGAGGAGGCUGAGUCUGCUCAGACCUCGCAACUCCUUCGGGUAUUACAGUUUAAAGGACAGUGACGGAAUAUGAGAUUUAAGACAACAAUGCAAUCUCAAAAAUAAAAAUAAAACCGAAAUAUUAAAAAGUAACAGAGCAUCUCCAGUUUGCCCCUCCUUUUUCUUAUUUUGCUACAUUCAGUACCAGCUUAUGACACAGCCAGACAACUGAUUCUGUUCUCCCACCUUCAGGCAUCAGCAUCCCUUUGCUGAAACUUUUGUAGCUUCUUUCCUUGGACACUUCUUUUACCACAAAUGUCCCUUCCCUGUGUGUGGGAGACUGCAAUAUCGAUUAUGCCCCAAAGCAGACUGUGAGUAGUGCCGUCUGUA